rnacentral:rRNA from 1 species
AGUGAACGCUGGCGGUAGGCCUAACACAUGCAAGUCGAACGGCGGCACAGUAAGAGCUUGCUCUUACGGGUGGCGAGUGGCGGACGGGUGAGGAAUACAUCGGAAUCUACUUUUUCGUGGGGGAUAACGUAGGGAAACUUACGCUAAUACCGCAUACGACCUACGGGUGAAAGCAGGGGAUCUUCGGACCUUGCGCGAUUGAAUGAGCCGAUGUCGGAUUAGCUAGUUGGCGGGGUAAAGGCCCACCAAGGCGACGAUCCGUAGCUGGUCUGAGAGGAUGAUCAGCCACACUGGAACUGAGACACGGUCCAGACUCCUACGGGAGGCAGCAGUGGGGAAUAUUGGACAAUGGGCGCAAGCCUGAUCCAGCCAUACCGCGUGGGUGAAGAAGGCCUUCGGGUUGUAAAGCCCUUUUGUUGGGAAAGAAAAGCAGCAGGUUAAUACCCCGCUGUUCUGACGGUACCCAAAGAAUAAGCACCGGCGAACUUCGUG